UCAUCUGUGGUGGGCCUAUUUGGUUGGGCCAGGAGGGAGGAGCAGAAAUGGAAUACAGUUUUGGCCUGUAUCCUGGGAAAUGGGAAAAACGGGGGGAGUGAAAGGGAAAAGGAAAUGUUGUUGUGAUCGGAAUCGGAGAGAGAAUGAGAAGCAAGAGUGGGCGCGGGGGUAGGCCCAAACACAAUCGUUCCACUUCUUCUUCUCCUUCUAUCACUGCUACUACUACUUCACUUCCUAUGCUCUUCAAUCGCAAACACAAUCAGUUCACACUGGACGAAGAUAGCGUCUGUGGAGAAAUGCUCAAUGCUCAGCUACACAAUGAUGUAGCUCCUGAUUUGGUUGACCACGCUCUUGCUUCCAAAACAAGAGUCCAUUGCUCUACCUCUCAUGACAUUUCUACUCAAGACGAUGGUAUGGAGAUUGAUUGCUUCAAACAGACUUGUAUAAUAUGCAAUCAAGGCGGACAUGUGUUUGUUUGUGCUGAAUCUGGCUGCCCAAUUGCUCUCCACAAGAAGUGCGUGAGUCGGGAACUUAUAUCUGAUGACGACUUAGAACAAUUCUACUGCCCAUAUUGUUUGCACAAACGAGCGUUUGUACAGAAAGAACAACUGAGAAAAAAGGCUGAAUUGGCAAAGGAGGAUUUAUUGAAAUUUUUGGGUACAAAUGCCGUUGGUGGGGAUGGGCUAAAGCAGAAAGAUGGGGAAGAAAAGAGGUGUCAGGAUCAGCAUAAUACAGAUGAAGAACAGAUGACCGAAGAUGGUGCACUUGAUGCAUCAAAAGGAUCUCAAGGCGGUCUAAAGAUACACGAGGAAAACAUUUCUGAAGCACAUCAGUCUAAAUUUGCAGAAGAUGUAGAAAACAUACAACUAGAGAUGAAUGCAGAUGGUGCACUUGAUAGAUCAAAAGGAGGAUCAAAGGACGGUUUAAAGGUAUCUGAGGAAAAUAAAAGCAGAAGCAAGGAUGAAGAACAAAUGCAGCCAAAAUCACCAAAGCAGACUUCAAAUGCCAAUUUUGCCUCUGGAACUACGGAUUCAGAUAUGGAGAUACUUGCAGCACGAGUAUGCCGAAUCAAACAAAGAGCCCAAAAGAAGGCUUUCCCUCAGAAUGAUGAUUCACCUAGGAAAUUAUCCUCUCAGGAAAAUAGCACCACAGAGAAAAAGGUCACCUCCAAGAAUAAGAAACAUGCUGCCUCCAAAAAGUCAAGACAACCUCAAGUGUCGACUAAGCAACUCACAACAAUGCCUUUUCCUACUGCAAAGCGAAAGAGAUUACUUUGGACAGCUGAAGAGGAAAGUAUGUUAAAGGAAGGUGUGCAUCAUGUUUCAGCUUCAGCCAAAAAAAAUGUCCCCUGGAGGAAAAUUUUGGAACUUGGUCGUCACAUAUUUCAUAAGAGUCGAACUCCAGAAGAUCUCAAGGAUAAAUGGAGGACGAUGUUGGCCAAAGAGCCUUAGACAAUUAAGAGAAGAUUGACUGAAUUGCUUAGUACAUCAGAUGACAAAGCUAGUGAAAGGGGUGACAGCAGGGUCUUUCUCCUAGUCAAGUCUAACUGUACGUGUGUAUAAUAUACCAGGAAGACCUCUUAAAUGAUGAAACAUGUAUAUAUAUCAAAUGGAUUCACUACUGUUUUUUGCUUGUCAAUGAAGGUUUUACAUUUUAUGAGAGGAAGAAAGAAAAGCAAGGCAGGAUAAAUUUGUUUCUAGGGCACAGGAGCAAACUUAACCCAUGAAUAAAACUUCCUGUAACUAGCAUUUUGGAUGGAGGAAAUUGCCAAGGUUGACUGUAGAUUGAAGAUAAAUGACCAUAGAAGUUGUAAUUGGAGCUUGCUUAAUAGAUCCUGGCCUUUCGAAGUAUGAUAAGUAUAUCAGGAAGCAAACUUCUGUGCAGAGAUUUUGACACAGCAGCAGGUGGAUAGUAACUGGAAUUACUUUGAAGUAAAUAAUAGUUUCCCAGCUAAGCAAAGGUGCUUUUAUCUUUUUGCCAAUUUUGAGAAGUAGCUUAUGCAUUUUUAGACGACUUUUUACUUAGAAACGCCCAGGGAUUUUCUCAUAGUAGUUAAGCAGCUCUACCAAACUAAAGAAAAUAGAUUUUCUCUUGUAUAUUAAUAUUGAUAUGAAGCCAAGGAUUUGUUUCAAUUUCAAGUAGUACAGCAUAUCCUUA